CGCCGUCAUCUCUUUAUUUGCUGCCAGCAGAGUCCACCAAGCCUGCUGGGCAGCCCUGCUGCCCACCACGGCGGGGUUCAGGCCCAGCCCACCACCCCGUGGCUGAGUCUCCUCCAGGCCCAGCCGUCCUGAGGGGACCCUGGCAGCGUCUGGAGCCCCCCAGGCCAGAGGUGAGGGAUGAACUGGACUGAGCUCAGGGUUAGGGUUCCCCCAGAUCCUUCUGGGAUUCCUACUUCCUGCUCCCUGCUGAGAGGGGCACCCCAAAUCCUGCAGAAGGCUGGGAUGGAUUAGAGUUGAGAAUGGGGUACCCUCAAAACCUAGGGGGUCCUUGCAAGCCCCUGGUGGGCAUCCCUGCUGCCCUCCCCCAACCCCACUCCCGGGAGCUGGGUGAGGAGGGAGGGUGGGGGUCCAGAGAAGAGUGAGGGGCAGUGGCGGCUUCUCCCCAAGGCCCCAGGGGGCCUUCUGGGGUGCCGUGCGGGGAGGCGCCGGGGACCCCCACACGCGCCGGGCACCCCGCACCCCGCGCCCCGCUCUGUUACGGCCGCGCCCUCACCCGCGUCAGCCGCAUCCGC
rnacentral:antisense_RNA from 1 species